rnacentral:lncRNA from 1 species
UGCGUGUUUACGUUACUUCGAGGAGCGCGCGAACAUGAGAAGUCGCCUCAGAAAUUUAUCCAAGAGAGUUACGAUAAGUUCACACAGCCCUUCGGUCGCAGCGUCCCGUGGACGGAUCAGAGAUGUCAUCUGGUUGUCUCAAUUUGUGGAGUUUGGACUUUGGCCGGCCUCACCCCCUCCAGCUCAGAGGAUAAAGCCGGAUCAACAUCACAUCCCUUCUGGUAUCCAUGGGCUCGAGGAGGAUACAGACACUUCCUUUCUGCUCCGCAUCCAGUGCAAAAAAAAUAAGAUGAUGAACUGAUAAAGGUGAAAGUUGCAUUGAUGAGGUUCUUGAGGUACAACGGGUUUGCUGCUGUUGACUCCUGUAUCAUGGGUUUCCAUUAACUAAAAGCAGAAGAUUCUGGCUUUUCUUCAUCCCCUAGGGAAAUAACAGACCAUUUCAUUUCAACAACCAUCUAAUUCACCAUCCUAUUGUUAUGUCUUUAUUCUUCAUGUUUCCUAGUUAUUUUAUUGCGUCUGUAUAUUUGUGUGCUUGUCAUAAUUACGCCCAUAACCAAAUCUCCACUCAGAGCAAGUUCUAGCUCCCUCUUUUAAUCAAAGGAUGUACUGUAAUCAGAUUUGUGGAGACGUUUUCCUAAUGAUGCUUACUUCAAACGGGUUCUAGUGGCUCCGAAAUGACUCAUAAUGAUCCUUGGCAGUAAGUUAUAUUAUAGAGGAAAUUGAGACUUUAAAGAGCCAUUUCAGAGAAUGGGCUAUCUGUAUUAAUCACUGACUUUGUUAAAGCAUAGCUUCCAGAGAAAUGAGCUGUCAGUCCUCCACUCCUGAACACUAAUGGUGGAAGCCGCCGUAUAAAGUGUUCAAAGUGUGUUAUUCUAAAGAGCCGUUUCCAUCAUUUAGCUUUUCUCAUUAAGACAGUUUAAUAUGUUUUUGUUUCCUUCAUUUAUAUUCAGGGUUUUUUUGUGCACAGACUGAUGGGUCCUUCUGGCUGUGGCCUUGGAAAGUCAUAGGAGGAUUUACUGAAAGUUUUGCAGGGAUGCAGUGAAGGAAAAGAUCUUUGAGGAAGAUUGUUAUGGAAAAUUAAUCUACAUAUCAGAAAUGCUGUACUGGUUAAUAUCAAGCAGGCCCUUUUAUUUCUGGUUUUAACAUCUGUUAAUGCGUCUCCUGUUAUUUUGAGGGACACUGAUUUCCUAACUAUACAUUAGCCACUAUGUGCAUGUCGAUAAAGCACAUGUCCACAAGCACAGCGUUGAUCCCAAAUAUACUUUUUAUCCUCGAGUAUAUAUAUACUUUUUAAAUCGAGUACCUGCAUUAUUAGUUAUUAGCAUUAUUUAAACAUGUAGAAAUCCUCGAAACAAGUGCACAUUUUUUUUUCAUGAAACAUUUUUCAUGUGCAGCAACA